rnacentral:rRNA from 1 species
UACGUAGGGUGCGAGCGUUAAUCGGAAUUACUGGGCGUAAAGCGUGCGCAGGCGGUCUGUUAAGACCGAUGUGAAAUCCCCGGGCUUAACCUGGGAACUGCAUUGGUGACUGGCGGGCUUUGAGUGUGGCAGAGGGAGGUAGAAUUCCACGUGUAGCAGUGAAAUGCGUAGAGAUGUGGAGGAAUACCGCUGGCGAAGGCAGCCUCCUGGGUCAACACUGACGCUCAUGCACGAAAGCGUGGGGAGCAAACAGG